ACGUGCCUGAGACAUGACGGCUGGUGCGCCUACGGGCGUACGAGUGGGUGAUCCUAUGCUGCCUAGAAGACCUUCGUGAGCGAGUACUAGAGCCGCCCGUACCCUAAACCGACUCAGGUGGUCAGGUAGAGAAUGCCAAGGUGAUCGAGAUAACCGUGGUUAAGGAACUCGGCAAAAUGCCCCCGUAACUUCGGGAUAAGGGGGGCCGACGUUGUUGAGGGAUUUACUCCCAAAGGCGACGGAGGCCGCAGAGACCAGGCCCAAGCGACUGUUUACUAAAAACACAGGUCCGUGCUAAGUCGCAAGACGAUGUAUACGGACUGACGCCUGCCCGGUGCUGGAACGUUAAGGGGAAGUGUUAGUCGCAAGGCGAAGCACUGAACUUAAGCGCCAGUAAACGGCGGUGGUAACUAUAACCAUCCUAAGGUAGCGAAAUUCCUUGUCGGGUAAGUUCCGACCUGCACGAAUGGCGUAACGACUUGGGCGCUGUCUCGACCACGGACUCGGCGAAAUUGCACUACGAGUAAAGAUGCUCGUUACGCGCAGCAGGACGGAAAGACCCCGGGACCUUUACUAUAGUUUGGUAUUGGUGUUCGGUACAGCUUGUGUAGGAUAGGUGGGAGACUUUGAAGCGGCCACGCAAGUGGUUGUGGAGUCAACGUUGAAAUACCACUCUGGCUGUUCUGGAUAUCUAACCUAGGUCCAUUAUCUGAUCAGGGACAGUGCCUGAUGGGUAGUUUGACUGGGGCGGUCGCCUCCUAAAAGGUAACGGAGGCGCCCAAAGGUUCCCUCAGCCUGGUUGGCAAUCAGGUUUCGAGUGUAAGUGCACAAGGGAGCUUGACUGUGAGAGGGACACCUCGAGCAGGGACGAAAGUCGGGACUAGUGAUCUGACGGUGGCACGUGGAAGCGCCGUCACUCAACGGAUAAAAGGUACCCCGGGGAUAACAGGCUGAUCUUGCCCGAGCGUCCAUAGCGACGGCAUGGUUUGGCACCUCGAUGUCGGCUCGUCGCAUCCUGGGGCUGGAGUCGGUCCCAAGGGUUGGGCUGUUCGCCCAUUAAAGCGGCACGCGAGCUGGGUUUAGAACGUCGUGAGACAGUUCGGUCCCUAUCCGCUGCGCGCGUAGGAGUCUUGAGGAGAGCUGUCCUUAGUACGAGAGGACCGGGACGGACGAACCUCUGGUGAGCCAGUUGUCCUGCCAAGGGCACGGCUGGUUGGCUACGUUCGGAAGUGAUAACCGCUGAGAGCAUCUAAGCGGGAAGCACGCUCCAAGAUGAUGGCUCCCACAGGAUAACCUGGUAAGGCCCCCAGCAGAUCACUGGGUGAUAGGUCGGAUGUGGAAGUGCAGUAAUGCACAGAGCUGACCGAUACUAAUAGGCCGAGGGCUUGUCU
rnacentral:rRNA from 1 species